rnacentral:rRNA from 1 species
UACAGAGGUCCCGAGCGUUGUUCGGAUUCAUUGGGCGUAAAGGGUGCUUAGGUGGCGGGGAAAGUCUGAUGUGAAAUCCUGGGGCUCAACCCUGGAACUGCAUUGGAUACUUCCUUGCUAGAGUACUGGAGAGGAAACUGGAAUUUACGGUGUAGCAGUGAAAUGCGUAGAGAUCGUAAGGAAGACCAGUGGCGAAGGCGAGUUUCUGGACAGUUACUGACGCUGAGGCACGAAGGCCAGGGGAGCAAACGGG